rnacentral:snoRNA from 1 species
GCGAUCUUAUAUACUUGAACAGGAUCUGUUCUAUAGACUCGCACCUCAAUAUCCUUUAGCACAAAAGAAAGAAAGAAAGUAAAAGCGGUGAAUUAUUGUGGAGAUGAAGAAAUGCUAA